GAUGAACGCUAGCGGCGUGCUUAACACAUGCAAGUCGAACGGAAAGGCCUCAGCUUGCUGGGGUACUCGAGUGGCGAACGGGUGAGUAACACGUGGGUGAUCUGCCCUGCACUUUGGGAUAAGCUUGGGAAACUGGGUCUAAUACCGAAUAUGACCACUUCUUGGAUGUUGUGGUGGAAAGCUUUUGCGGUGUGGGAUGAGCCUGCGGCCUAUCAGCUUGUUGGUGGGGUAAUGGCCUACCAAGGCGGCGACGGGUAUCCGGCCUGAGAGGGUGUACGGACACAUUGGGACUGAGAUACGGCCCAGACUCCAACGGGAGGCAGCAGUGGGGAAUAUUGCACAAGGGGCGCAAGCCUGAUGCGGCGACGCCGCGUGGGGGAUGAAGGCCUUGGGGUUGUAAACUCCUUUCGCUAUCGACGAAGCCACUUGUGGUGACGGUAGGUAGAUAAGAAGCCCCGGCUAACUACGUGCCAGCAGCCGCGGUAA
rnacentral:rRNA from 1 species